AACGCACGAGACCUGCGGACCUGCGGAAGGAUCAUUACCGAGUUUACAACUCCCAAACCCCUGUGAACUUAUACCUUUACUGUUGCUUCGGCGGGUCAUUGCCCCGGGGAAACAGGUGCCGCCAGGUCCCUGCCCCCCCGGAAACAGGCGCCCGCCGGGGGACUCAAACUCUUCUGUAUUUUUUGUUUACUGUAUACUGUCUGAGUAAAAAUUCAUAAUGAAUCAAAACUUUCAACAAUG
rnacentral:misc_RNA from 1 species